rnacentral:rRNA from 1 species
GACAGCAGUAGCCGCGGGAAUACAGAGGGUGCGAGCGUUAAUCGGAUUUACUGGGCGUAAAGCGUGCGUAGGCGGCUUCUUAAGUCGGAUGUGAAAUCCCUGAGCUUAACUUAGGAAUUGCAUUCGAUACUGGGAAGCUAGAGUAUGGGAGAGGAUGGUAGAAUUCCAGGUGUAGCGGUGAAAUGCGUAGAGAUCUGGAGGAAUACCGAUGGCGAAGGCAGCCAUCUGGCCUAAUACUGACGCUGAGGUACGAAAGCAUGGGGAGCAAACAGGAUUAGAGACCCGAGUAGUCCCUGUCUCUUAUAC